rnacentral:rRNA from 1 species
GACGAACGCUGGCGGCGUGCUUAACACAUGCAAGUCGAACGGAAAGGCCCUGCUUUUGUGGGGUGCUCGAGUGGCGAACGGGUGAGUAACACGUGAGUAACCUGCCCUUGACUUUGGGAUAACUUCAGGAAACUGGGGCUAAUACCGGAUAGGAGCUCCUGCUGCAUGGUGGGGGUUGGAAAGUUUCGGCGGUUGGGGAUGGACUCGCGGCUUAUCAGCUUGUGGGUGGGGUAGUGGCUUACCAAGGCUUUGACGGGUAGCCGGCCUGAGAGGGUGACCGGCCACAUUGGGACUGAGAUACGGCCCAGACUCCUACGGGAGGCAGCAGUGGGGAAUAUUGCACAAUGGGCGGAAGCCUGAUGCAGCAACGCCGCGUGCGGGAUGAAGGCCUUCGGGUUGUAAACCGCUUUCGCCUGUGACGAAGCGUGAGUGACGGUAAUGGGUAAAGAAGCACCGGCUAACUACGUG